CAGUGGCACAGAGUUGUUCAGGUCCUCCACCACCCCACCCCAUGCUGAUGAGCACUCAUUGUGUGAUUUAUUUAUUUAAUCCUUGAUAAGAAGAUAAAUUUUAUAAAGUGAAAAUAAAGGAAUUAUAGCAUGGAGGAUAAGGUACCCUCCUAACUUAUCCAGUAAAAAAAAAAAAGGUUCCAAAAAAAAAAAAGUUCCUUCCAGUCAAGCUGAAUAAUACCUAAAGACAUUCUACUUUCUAAAUAGAAAUCAACCUAUUCUAACUAGUAAUUGAGUAAACCCUAGAAUAUCUAUUACACUAAGCACUAAGGACACUUAUAAUAAUAAAAAUAAUAAUAAUA
rnacentral:misc_RNA from 1 species